rnacentral:misc_RNA from 1 species
UUUCCGUAGGUGAACCUGCGGAAGGAUCAUUAUUGUAUAACCGAGGUGCGCGGGCUGUCGCUGACCCGAAAGGUCGUGCACGCCCGAGUGCCCUCACUCACAUCCAUCUCACCCCUAUGUGCACCACCGCGUGGGUCCCCCUUUGGCUUGUUCGGAGGGGGGCUUACGUUUUCACACAAACUUUGUAUGCAGUGUAGAAUGUAUUUUUUGUUUUUGCGAUCACGCAAUCAAUACAACUUUCAACAACGGAUCUCUUGGCUCUC